GGAGCUUUGCAAGUGACCUAGUUUUUGUCAAGACUCAAUAGGGAGCAUCGUGCCAGGGGCUCCUGAUGCCAGACAGGUCCGGGGACAGGCCUCGUCAGAUAGCGUGAGAGUGGAGAAUCCUUCAGCAAUGGAGGAACAUUAAUCUGCUGAAUAUUUUGUCAAUUCAUCAGAUUGUUGUUAUGGGAAUAUUGAAACCCUGCAACGGGCUGGCAACCUGUCCAGGGUGGGCCCUGCCUCUCGCCCUGUGGCAGCUGGAAUAUGAUCAAACCCCUCCCUUUGACCCUGAAUUGGGUCAAGGGUUGCCACUUUAGCCUGAGGGGAGGAAAAGCACAUGUGACACUGGAUCCAGACACGGCUAAUAGUCAUUAUUGGAGCAGGCGACCCCCUCCAUCCGCCACCUUCGGAGGUUCAGAAACCCACUUCCUGGUACUUCAUCUCAAGGUGCCUCUAUGCGUACACCACACAAACAGGAAACAGCCCUCUUUCAUCAGCCUCAAACUGCAUGCACUUCAUGUUCUUCUGAAAGGGUGCAGCAAAGAAAAAGCAUGUUUUUAGACCAUUUCCAGCUGGUCUAAAAUGGGAUGGUGGAGUAGGUUGGUGGGUGAUGAAGAAGGGAGGGACCUAAGGAUCAAGACAAGACUCCACAAGGCCCAGGUUCUCAGGGAUAAAGCAACAAGGAGGCCUCCAUGGGUCAACUGUGAUGGGUCAGCACCCACCAUUGUAUGGAGGGAGUUCCUGUUGCUGCUCCGGUUUUUUUGCAAUCUGAGAGAAUAUAAACAUGGACAGACGGGAAGUGUCCAGAGGCCGAGGAAAUGCAGAAGCGGUGCGGAUGUUGAGUCGAGUGUAUAAAGUGGAAGUUGCUACUGAAAUCGAAUACCACUCUGCUUGCAUUAAUGGUCAACUUGUGAUUGUUAUCUGUAUUUAUUCUCAAUGUAAAAACAGAAUAUAUCAAAUUAACCCCAAGGCAUAUUGUGUUAACUAUGACUGCACCGUUUAGCCCCCUUUUUACCUGAAAUAUCCUUGUGUACAUAUUGAUUAGGUCACAACCUCAGCAAAUCUGUUUUUUAUUCUUGGAAACUUUAUGGUAACAGCUCCCCCUGAUCAAUAUUUCUGCUGAAACUAAGUAUGCCAGGUCUUUGUGUAAUCAAGCCUGCUCAAUCAGACUUUGACUAUCCCCGGGUCAAUACCCCUGGCUGCUGCCUGCACAGCUCACCAAUCAACUUGCACCACAGCGAAACUCCCUUUAGUUCUGUAUUAUGCAUCGAAAAAGCACUCACCUGAUUACAGCCUCAAAUAUAAUACUGUGUCCCUCUUUUGUUAAAACCCAAGUUUCCAGAGUCUGACUGUGAGUAUGAUGUUACCAAAUGUAACUAUAGUUUCUUUUUCUUUACAUUUUAGACAAAUGGCAACAUUUAAAGUAUGCAGUAUUAGUCAUUAAAGCUUCCUCAUAGCCAUUAUUGGAUUUUCUGAUACUGAAGAAACUUGAAUACUGAUUAAGCUCUGAAAUUUAAGGUUUUAGAAUAAGACUGAUUUUUUUUUUAACUCCCAUUCAUGGGAAGCCCUCUAGAGUUAGAAUGGGUACCCAAAACUGAGCAUAAACGUGCCCCACAUUUGCUCAAUUUCCCAGAACUUUUUACACACCACUCAUCACAAAGUUGAACUUUUCAAAAAAUACAGGUUUAUUGACUUAACUGCAAUCAAUACUUACAAAAAGAGAGAGAGAGAGAAAGAGGAAAAACAGGUUUUCAUAUAAACUCACAGAAAUUACUGUAGUGAAAAAACAUGGCUGGGAAAAAAAUAAAAUACAUUCAACAGUUUUACUUUCUUUGUGUCAGAAUUUGUUCACCUCUUCCAAACACACGAAGGCAACACAGAACAAGUGACUUAAGGAGAAAAAAAAUAAAAAAUUGUCCUCCAUUAUCAAAUAUAAAAAGGCGGAGAGCCCUUAGCUACCUGGAAUGUAUUAAACGAGGCACUUCCACUGAUCAAGCAUCAAGAAUCCAAUUGAAUUAAAAGAAGAUAUACUUUUUCAACUCAUUUGGUCACAACUAUUGCUUGUAAUAACAGACUGGGUGACAGAACAUUACUGACAGAAAACAAUCAACACAGCCAGCCUCUAAACUGCUAGACUCUGCUAAACGAGUGAUGUUACUAAUUUUCUUUUUAGCACCCCUUUAAGUCUACCAUCAACCCGAGUACUGUAGGAAUAAUCCUCUUCAAAGUGGGGACAAGAGAGCAGGAAAAAAAAAUAAAAA